CGUAAACAAAGGGAAGCGAAGGGGCGACCUGGAGCAAAUCUCAAAAAUAACGUCUCAGUUCGGACUGUAGUCUGCAACCCGACUACAUGAAGCUGGAAUCGCUAGUAAUCGCGAAUCAGAAUGUCGCGGUGAAUACGUUCCCGGGUCUUGUACACACCGCCCGUCACACCAUGGGAGUUGGUAAUGCCCGAAGUCAGUGACCCAACCGCAAGGAGGGAGCUGCCGAAGGCAGGACUGAUAACUGGGGUGAAGUCGUAACAAGGUAAC
rnacentral:rRNA from 1 species